rnacentral:rRNA from 1 species
AGCGAACGCUGGCGGCAGGCCUAACACAUGCAAGUCGAACGGACCCUUCGGGGUUAGUGGCGGACGGGUGAGUAACACGUGGGAACGUGCCUUUAGGUUCGGAAUAGCUCCUGGAAACGGGUGGUAAUGCCGAAUGUGCCCUUCGGGGGAAAGAUUUAUCGCCUUUAGAGCGGCCCGCGUCUGAUUAGCUAGUUGGUGGGGUAAUGGCCCACCAAGGCUACGAUCAGUAGCUGAUCUGAGAGGAUGACCAGCCACAUUGGGACUGAGACACGGCCCAAACUCCUACGGGAGGCAGCAGUGGGGAAUCUUGCGCAAUGGGCGAAAGCCUGACGCAGCCAUGCCGCGUGUAUGAUGAAGGUCUUAGGAUUGUAAAAUACUUUCACCGGUGAAGAUAAUGACUGUAGCCGGAGAAGAAGCCCCGGCUAACUUCGUGCCAGCAGCCGCCGUAAGAC